rnacentral:lncRNA from 1 species
GUGAUCAUCAUGCUGGUAUUUAUUAUUUCAUAGUUUUUAUUAGGCCCCGCAAUAGUCUGUGAUUCGUAUGGAUUAUAUAUUAUUUAACAUUCUUUCUUCUUUUGUUCUCUUCUGGAUUAUAUGUAACACAGCUAGCAGCUGCUGUAUAUACACGACAAGAAAUUGGUGUUUCAGCCACGUACGAUAAUGUGGCUAAACACUAUAAAAUUUGUGGCCAAAUAUCUUUUGCCACGAACAAAAUUUCGUGGCCAUUUUGUCACCUAAUGACCGUGGCAAAAAAUAUAUAGACAAGACAUAAAGAUUUCGUGGCCAAACAUUAAUAGACACGAUUUAUGUUCCUGGCAAAAUACUAUCGCACGCUCCCUCUUCCUUAGCAUUGUAGACGAAAUAUUUGAUUCCAUCAUCUGUGGCUAAAUAUGGAUUCGUGGCUAAAACUAACACCAUUAGCCAAAAAUUAAAUUGUGCCUGAAUGACACAACCUUUGGCCAUGACUUGGGUUUAUCACUAAUUACCUUCUUUGGUAACAUUAGUCAUGGUGGCUAGAUGCAAGACCAUCAGCUGUGAAUACAUUGUGGAUGAAUAUGGGAACAUUUUACAAAGAAAAUACAGGAACAUUUUACAAAGAAAUCUAUUUGUCGCUAGUUAUAUUCUUUAGUAACGAAAUCGAUUGUGGCUACAAAACUUAUAGAUUUGAUUGUUGGUUUUUGCCACAAAAAUAUAAUGAAAUAUUUUGUAAACAUUUAUUAUAUAUAAAUAUUUCGCUAAUGAAAUUAAAAAUGGUAAAUAUGAUAUUAUUCCUUUUUAAUUGACAAUAUAUUGAGUCAUGAAAUUUAAAAGAAUUUAUCUCAAACUAAUCAAGAAUUUAAAUGUACUACCAUAAACUUUAGCACUAAAAAAGAACAAUCAUAUUAUAAGUAAAUAUAUAAGUAGACAUAAAAUAAAAUACAUAUAAAUCAAAUAGACCAAAAGUUAAGGCCACACCAAUUAGUUUUUCAUCAAACCGUAAAAGAACCAUAUAAUGCUAGUUAACAAAUCUGCAUGGUAAUAACAAGUAAAAUAAGUCCAAAAUGCAUACAAUUAAGAUGAGGAAAUCAUGAUCGAGGUGGCUGAACAGAUUGCAACCCUAAAAUAGUAUCAUGAUUGGAUAAAUAAGAGCUCAUGAGAGCCUCAAAUUAGUUAAGCCUACUGGACAAAUCACUGAGGGUAUUCUUAGUGUUUUGAAGUUUAGUCUCUGUUUCUUGAAGCUCAGUCUGAGUGGUUUGAAGCUUUGUCUUUGUUGAUUCUAACUCAUUGUACAAUGCUGAGGCAUUUUCAUUAGAUGUUGCCUGUAAACGAGGUGGUAGCUUACACACUUCAAGACCAGAAAGGUAAUCGAAUUUCUUGCCACACACCGCUUGAGAUAAUUGUUCAUCACUCAAUGGCUCAUAUCCCUCAUUAUCAGCUUGCUCUUGUAGUUGGACCAUCUUCUCCUAGAAAUAAUAAAAAAAGAAGAAAACAUUAUUAAUUUGAAAUAAAUUAAUUAGUGUAAAAAUAACUUUAAAAUUUCAAAAAAAUUCUUAACUUUAAAAUUUCAAAAAAAUUCUUACAUAUCUUGACUGAGCCUUAGCAUUCACUCAGCAUUCACCCAUCAUUUACUGGCAUUGUAAUGAGUUUCACGAAAUAGAUCGGGUAAGGUUUGUACCUCACCACUCUUAUUUUGUUGUUAAAAACAAAUGCAUAUAUAUAUAUAUAUUUAUUUAUAGACACACACAUUAGCUAUGUUAAAAAAAUUACAAUUAAAGAUUAUCACAUUAGAGCUCUCCUCACAAUGAGCAAUAAAUGACUUAGAUCACCCCCGAUGAUUAUACGUUAGCUUUUUUCUGUUUUUGGCAUUUAUCUUACACCUAGCCUGAAAUGCAUACAAAGUGGGAAAAAAAUUAGAAGGUAAAAUGUGUGUGUGUGUAUGUAUAUGUAUAUGUAUGUAUGUGUGUGUAACCAAGUUUGUAUCUAUAUCCAUUUACAUAGUCAAGAUUUACUUGCAUACAUUACUUUGCAAACAUAUUCAUAUAUAAUAAUUAUCCUAUCUAAUAAUAAUCCUUCAUUAACGCCGCUUGAAAUUCCUUUCAAGUAGCCAGUUCAAUUGGGUACUUGAUUAAUUACAUUGACCGACCAAUAUCACCACAAAUCCAAUUCUCAUAACAGGUCAAAACAACUAAGACAUGAAAACAAUCUAAUUCCAGACUUGCAAAAUGACAAACAUCACUAUCAAAGCUAAAAAUUGAAGUGCAGGUUGUAUUUUUAUCUUAUAACAAGUAUUAAGAGAUUGCAAUGAAAGAAAAAUAAAUAUAAGAAUAACUUAAAAGUAUGGAAUUCUCUUUUAACAGCUUAACAAAAAGCUUCGAAAAUCAAUUAAUUGGCCUCAGGCCUUAGCAUCUCAAAAGAGGAAAAAAAAAAGAAAAAUUAGUUUCUUCAAGAAAAUAAAUUUGGAAGGCAUGUCCAUUAUAUUUUGAAUAUAACACUCCAUAAGAAACAAAACAUAUGCACUUUAUUUUACAGCACAAUUACCUCCAAUUCUACUACAAUAAACUUCCAAAAUUAAUAUGUAAAU